rnacentral:rRNA from 1 species
UACGGGGGGGGCAAGCGUUGUUCGGAAUUACUGGGCGUAAAGGGCGCGUAGGCGGGCGACCGAGUCCGGGGUGAAAUCUUUCGGCUCAACCGGAAAAGUGCCUUGGAUACGGGUCGUCUCGAGGGAGGUGAGGGGCAGUGCGGAACUUCCGGUGGAGCGGUGAAAUGCGUAGAUAUCGGAAGGAACGCCGGUGGCGAAAGCGGCGUGCUGGACCUCUGCUGACGCUGAGGCGCGAAAGCCAGGGGAGCGAACGGG